rnacentral:rRNA from 1 species
CGGCAUUAAUUCUCAGAGGAACUUGUUUAUUUAAUCGACAAUCCACGAUACCUUUCACUUUUAAUAAAAAUUCAUAUACCGCCAUCUAAAGAGUUAAUUUUAAAAUAUUACUCUAAAUAAAACCUAAAAAGUUAGGUCAAGGUGUGGUCUAUAUAAAAGGCAUAAAUGAGUUACAUUUAACUUAAUUAAAGGAUUAAAAAAUUAAAAUUUUUUAUUAAAAAGGAUUUGAAAGUAAAAAUUUAAUAAUAAUAUAUUUUGAAAAUUUUAAAAAUGUGC